rnacentral:rRNA from 1 species
CUGCAGCCCGAGUGGUGAUCGAUUUUAUUGAGCCUAAAGCGUCCGUAGCCGGACUAGUAAACCCUUGGGUAAAUUGGGCAGCUUAACUGUCCAAAUUCCGAGGGGACUGCUAGUCUUGGGACCGGGAGAGGUCAGAGGUACUCAAGGGGUAGGGGCUAAAUCCUGUAAUCCUUUGGGGACCACCAGUGGCGAAGGCGUCUGACUAGAACGGAUCCGACGGUAAGGGACGAAACCCUGGGGCGCGAACCGGAUUAGAUACCCGAGUAUCC